CAGCAGCCGCGGUAAUACGGAGGGUGCAAGCGUUAAUCGGAAUUACUGGGCGUAAAGCGCACGCAGGCGGUCUGACAAGUCAGAUGUGAAAUCCCCGGGCUUAACCUGGGAACUGCAUUUGAAACUGUCAGGCUGGAGUCUUGUAGAGGGGGGUGGAAUUCCAGGUGUAGCGGUGAAAUGCGUAGAGAUCUGGAGGAAUACCGGUGGCGAAGGCGGCCCCCUGGACAAAGACUGACGCUCAGGUGCGAAAGCGUGGGGAGCAAACAGGAUUAGAGACCCCGAGUAGUCCCUGUCUCUUAUA
rnacentral:rRNA from 1 species